rnacentral:rRNA from 1 species
UAAUUGGAAUGAGUAGAAUUCAAAUCCCUUUAUGAGUAUCGAUUGGAGGGCAAGUCUGGUGCCAGCAGCCGCGGUAAUUCCAGCUCCAAUAGCGUAUAUUAAAGUUGUUGCAGUUAAAAAGCUCGUAGUUGGAUUUCUGGGAGGGUGCCAAUGUCCGCCGACGUGCGUGCGCAGCGGCGCCCUCUCAUCCUUCUGUUAACGUCUCUCGGCAUUUAUUCGCCGGUGGCGGGCUCAGAUAUCUUACCUUGAGAAAAUUAGAGUGUUUCAGGCAGGCUAGGCCGGAAUACAUUAGCAUGGAAUAAUGGAAUAGGACUUCGGUCUCUUUGUUGGUUUGAGGGACUGCAGUAAUGAUUAAUAGGGAUAGUUGGGGGCAUUAGUAUUUAAUUAUCAGAGGUGGAAUUCUCGGAUUUGUUAAAGACUAACUUAUGCGAAAGCAUUUGCCAAGGAUGUUUUCAUUAAUCAAGAACGAAAGUUAGGGGAUCAAAGACGAUCAGAUACCGUCCUAGUCUUAACCAUAAACUAUGCCGACUCGGGAUCGGGGGCGCGAACUAUCCGCCUUC